CUGACCAAUAAAAUGGAAUUGCAUUUUUCAGCGACGGUUGUUUCACUUGUCGAAAAAUUCUAGUACUUCAUUUACUGUUCGAAGUUCUUAAAUACUGAUGCCUUUCUCAUUUAUUAUGUAUUUCUACAAAAUUUAGCAACUGAUUCUGAAAACAUAGCCAUCUUUACGAGAACAAUGCGUGGCAAGGAGCAACUACUCUACCUUGGACAGCCGUUUGUUUUUGAGAAACUGAUGGUGAUCCAGAACUCCACCGCGAAGAAAAUUUGGCGCUGCAAUCAGUGGUGGAAUCAAAAGUGUCGUGCCCGAGUGUAUACUAUUGGAAAUGUGAUAACACCUCUGAAUCGCUACCACACCCACUCCGACAUAAUCAAACGGAAGCGGCGAGUUACGAAGAAAAAAGCGACCAUAGUGAUCACAACCGGUCCCCAUAGAGAUCACACCAAUAAGUCGGUUCAGGAAGAAUAUACCGAGUUUGUAGUUGAUUGCAUACCGGAGGGUUCUGAAAGUGACGAACAGAAAAAAGGGGAAAUGACCGAUUACUAAUAUUAGAGAAAUACAUCUUUAUUUAAGAAUACAAGUUCAAGCGUUGAUCAGCUUUCUCAGUUUUUAGUAGGCAGUUCAACCAAAAGCUUUCAAUAACAUAUUCUUUAAUCAAACGCUUCUAAUAACAUAUUGUUUAACAUCAGUUCCAGAAUCGAUGAAACUUUCACCGCACAAAUCACAAGGCAUUUCAUUUACGGUACCAUCGCAUCCGCCGAGUCCAAUAGUCAAGCCGCCACCGGAACAGUGGAAGAACGUAGGGCGUCCGGCAGCUGAGGCGCCGUCUACUAUGGUUCCACUGCACAGCGGCAGCGCCGUCUUUAUCUCGACGAUAGAUCUCGUAAACAUCUACACUCCGAAAGCGGCACUCUAUACGGCACGCUUGAUUGACGUCAUUUUCGGACGGCAAACACUGCUAAAGGCCUGUGUGACCCGAACGGAGAAUUCCGGCGAUUUGGUCCCGCUAGAUGAGGACAAACUGAAAUCAGUUAUAGUACAUGUGGUACAUGUUUUCAAGAAACAACACGUCGAAAUUUCCGAAUCACUCGUGCUGGGCUACAUCCGGAACCGCCUCUGUUACCUUCAGAGUUCAAAGAAGUACUAGAAUCCGUUUGCCAUAACCUAUUAUGAAAAGAUAAAGUGGAUUAAAUGCGUUAUUUUCAUAUUUGUUCGUUUUUUCUGAUAUUGUUCAACAAGAUUAUACGCAACGGAACUCGAAUAAUAACCAAUUUUUCUAUUUUUUUAGAAAUGGAUUUUCGUUUUGAGCUGUCUUCUAGUGGAGCUCGCCAGCUGGUAUGGAAGGGCUACGUUUACCACAAGAAUACGUCGACCGGUAGGUGCACCUAUUGGCGCUGUGCACACGCUGCUCGACUGAAAUGCAAGGCGACCGUGGUGAUGGAGUAUGGCGUGAUGGUGCGGGUCAAGAAUCCCUAUCACAAUCAUCUUCCAAUGAAGCGACUUCUGUACGGCAUGGGAAAAAAUAAGAAAAGAAACCUGAAAAACCAGAAUCUUUUCAACAGCUAUAGGAGGGUUGAAUAAAGACUAUGAUGGAAUAAAGCUGCCUAGUUUACCGUUGAUAGAUUUUUCCUGAAUGUCGACUCUGAAGGUGCUCACAAUGAUAUCUAAAUCUCGUUCUUUCCUCACAGCCAUCUUCUUUGCUGUCAGUACCAAACAACAGUUGCUUAAACUGCGCAACAAGAUUUAUCUGAAAUCAAAGGGACGAGCUUAUCGGAGCUUCUUCUCUUGCAUAGAGUACAAUUGUCCCGGCCAGGUCAUGUUUCACGAGUUGAAAGGAGGCCAACUCAAAAUUAUGGCCGAACAUAACGACGAUUGCACGUGCGACUACUAUAAGGAUCGUCCGGAGGAACACUUGGGCCAGCUUAGCAAAGCCGAACUGACGAGACUGGAAGAAACGUUGAUGAGCAAAGACUUCGAUGAUACCUGGGCGGAAAUAUAAGUGCAGUGUAGCUUUUAUUUAAUUUUUUAAAUUUUGAAUGUAGCGUGAAAAAUCAGGGAGUUCAUCUUUUGUCUGCCGAGCAUCCUAUCGUAGCUUUCCGGUGAAAGUACACUAAAAAACGGAACCAUUGUUUUGAACCAUACAUGUGUUCUUUUUAUUUUUGGCUCCCUCGUUCUUAUUUCAUCCAUAUAUGCUCAAUCGAAUAAUCUACGCAUAAUCACAGACUGUUAUUGCAGAUCAUCGGCAUGUCAAACUGAAAGUAAAUGAUUUAUUCUCACUCAAAACCCAUGACAAAAUUAAUCUAGUACUGCACAUUGUAACAGACACAAAUACAACCUGAAAAGAUUCGUCUCCCAUUAAUAAAAGCUAUGAAAUCAAACAAAACGUUCGCUAAUCUAGUACUGCAUGUUUUUCUAUCUUUCGCUACUGAUCACUAGUUUACAUUUCUCUGCAGCCACGGAACUGGACUCGAAACAACCACUGAUGGUCCUUAGUAGAGCCGGCACGUUGCAGCUUCGUUACCAAGGUCACACCUUUAACAAACAUGUAACUCGUGGCGAAAAAGUCUACUGGAGAUGCAGUCAGUACCUGGUGUACCGGUGCAAAGUGCGCAUUCAGACCAUGUUGGAUGAGUUCUCCAUCAGCAAGAAUGACCAUAAUCAUCCAGUAGUAGUGCGGCCUCGCGCGUACGGAUCGCUGAAGCUGUUGAAGCAACGGUUGGGCAACAUUAGAUCGUGAUACUAAAUAAAUAUGACAAAAGAUCUACAAUUUAAUGGUUUAUGAUACCGAAAUUCUCUCGCAUUUUUGUAUUGUAACAGUGCACUCAGCCGAUCAUCUCGUUCUUGUCUUCUAAUCGAGUGAUUCUAAUUUUAGCUGCAACGUCAUUCGCCCUACCAAUCAACAGACCAGAGUUCGAGUUCCGAAGAUCGACACAACGUGGCACUCACUUGCUGAUGGUCAACGGAGUGAAGUUCUUUCGCAAUCGUCAGCGAAACGAUAAGCAUUACUGGAAGUGCCAUCAGUACUAUAAAUGCAAGUGUCCCUGUACGGUCGUCAUCAAUGAGACCACGUCCAAUAUCACUGUAAAGUACAGACACAAUCACGACGAAAGUUUGACGUCAUUUGAUUCUAGUACUACAGCAGCUCGAGUUUAUCCAAAUAAGCGCAUCAAAUAAACAUUUUUGCAAGAUAACAUGUGUUUUGUCUUGAUAUUUCGCCUUUUGGUCAUACCUUACCAUUUCUAACCGUCAAUUCUACUACCUUUCAGAAAUCUACUUCACGAAAUCGAGCCGAGGCCGUCCGGCAAUCAUUAUCGAUGGCGUCAAGUAUCUGUUCAUGUCGGAAAAUCACAAGCGAGUAGUUUGGCGGUGCUCGUCAAUGGCCACCAGCAAGCUUAAGUGUCCAGCCCGGAUAUUGCAGUACAAGAACCCCGAGCGCUUUGUCAUUCACCGGGAAAAGCAUAUCCAUGCGCCUCUGAAGCGUCACAAGGUGGCUUUCAUCGCUCAAGAAAUGUUCACAGUUUUGGAUUGAGAAGUACGUGUCGAUAUCACAGCAUGUCGUUUGGAAAUAAAUUUUAUAGUUCUAUCCCUGUGCGUUUGCUUCGACCGUUCUAGUACUUCGUUUUGGAAAAAUUUAAAUAUUCACGCUUUACUUACAGUUUUGCAACUUUCUUUGUAGAGUACAAGCACCAUCUGUCCGUGACGAGCAGUAAUGGCAAGGUGCUUACAUACCGCAGCAGCCAGAAGGGUCGGCUACAACUGUCGUGCGAUGGAUUCUACUACGUCAAGGAGAAAACCGUGAAGCAGAAGGAGUACUGGCGCUGCAUCUAUUACACCACGAAGAUCAAAUGCCAUGGGCGAUUACACACCUUGAACGGGGAAAUUCACCACAGUACGCCCCACAAUCACGUGGCCGGAGUGUUCAAACGAUCCGACUACAAUCGUCUUUCGGAAAUUAUGAUAAAUACGGAAUCGGGUAUUGCCGGGCAGCCGUCGACACAAUCUAUCUGUAUAGAAAGUGUAACUAAAGUCGAACGAUACUGAAAAUAAAUCUUAAAGUUUAGUUAUAAAUAUUUGUGUUGGCUUCGGAGUUGGUCGUAGAGCGCUACUGAAGGCGAACCAAAUCGAAACCAAUUAGUACUGACUUAUUUGUUUGGUUCGCCCGAUUUUUAGGAUCCACCACAAUGACGAUGAUGGACACGUUGGACGUACCGGCUAUCGAGUUCAGCAGAACGCAGCGAGGUCGCACCAUGCUGAUCUACGACGGGUACAAAUACGUGGAAAAUCGUCAGAGCAACAAGAACGUAUUCUGGCGCUGCUCAAAAUACGUCAAGUAUGCCUGCCGGGCGACCUGUGUGACGUCCAAGAGCCCGAGUGAAUGUCCUAUUCGGCUGGCUGGCAAUGCCCACUCGCAUGGGCCGGAAAAAAUGUUGGACAGUGACAAAAUUGAACCCUCCGAUGAAUCCGACAUUCAGUUCCGGUUGAUGCAAUUGUACUAGAUACGCUUGUUGAUUGAAGUACUAGAUUUUUAACCGAAAUGCAACUAUUUAUUGGAAGUAAAUUCGAAUUUCUGAUAGAUACAAUUUUCUUGUACUUCAAAUUGAUUGUUCACAAAAUGUGCUUGCAAUCAUAUUAAAAAAAUAUGGACAAAACAUCAGUUACCAGAAUUUCCAUUACGGAAAAUGUAAACACGCCAAUCUAGUACUACAUUUUGAUGAAAAUUUUCUUUCGAAGGUAGUUUAUCAAAAUUCUGAAUUGAAAUCUUGUCAUUAGCGGUUUAAUUUCUAAGCAGAUGAAUCUAGUACUGCAUCGUGAGAUAUAUGUACAAAAUAUUGCUAUUUAUAUUGAAAUAAACUUUUGCAUUUGCAGAUUUGAUUAAUGAUACUCGUUUUGAUGAAGAUCCACCUGUUGGUAUCUCAAUAACGAUCUUUUGUACUUUCAGUAACAAACCAAUUCGUGACAGCAAAGUUUGGAUACACUCAACGGGGACACGUGAUGCUAAUGUACAACGGGUACGGAUUUAUCAAAGACCGCCAAACGGCGAAGACCUGCAACUGGAAGUGUUCGCUGUUCCGAAGGAUGAAAUGUCGUGGGCGAGCCAUUACCAAAAUCGCCGACGGUAAGAACAUGAUGAGGGUUACCCAUGAGAAACACACGCACAGUCGGGAUGAGUAUCGAAAAGAGAUGUAAGGCACGUAAUCAUUAGAAGUGCAAGAAGCAGGAGCCGGAGGACAAACCCGAAUCAAUAACAAAGUCAUACUAGCGAGGCGGACAUUAGUAGCAGAAUGCAAGUUCUCAAAUACCAAAAGGUGAGAACUUCGCGAACAAUAUCAAUGCCUAUGUAACAUAUGUAUAGGUCAUUUCAUCAUUUCAUUUUCAUAGGACACGAUCGGUGAACUACUAGAUUUGUAGUGAUGAGCUGAAUUUUUGUAUGUUGAGAAGGUCAAUUCUCCGUUUUUGCAAUGAAAUGGGUCAACAAGCGUGGGUAUAAUGAUUACUUGCGUAAUUUGGUGCUGCUUGAACAAAACUUUGGAUAACUGCGUUAAUCGAGUUGCAAGAAAUGAAGAAAAGAACUACACGGUUACCCACGAUUUUUGCACCAAUUCUUUGCUAAAACGGAGAAUUACACCAUACAAAAAUUCAGCUCAUUACUACACAUCCAGUACUACACCGAACGUUCUUGGAUUGAUAAGAAUCUCCCCUGGCUUCGCUGUAAAUACUGCAAGGUUGCCAAAAUGACUUAUGUUUAUUCAAGAGUUUUUAUUAAUCACAUGGAAUUCAAAACAAAAACAAAUGCAUAAUCUUUCUAGAAUGAUGUUUUAACAAGAAAUACUGAUGGGGGGGAAUGAUCGUUUAAGCUAGAAAUAUCACAAAGCCUGCGAAAAAUAUAUCUGUAGUACUAGAUUACAUGGGGCGUCCAUUGAGUUUUCUAUGUUGAGUAAAGAUGUUUCUAGAAUUUUCUGCAAGGUAUUUUAGCCAUCAACGAUACCUCACCAAUGAAUAGCUCCAAAAUGAUGCCUUGUUUUUCCAUUGUAGAUCCCCCGAGCUUUAGGGCAGCUCAGUUCGGUUACACCCAACGUGGAAAGAUGAUGCUCCUGUACGAUGGUUUCGCCUACAUCAAAGAUCGUGAUGCCCGGAACAGCUGCAACUGGAAGUGUUCGCUGGCCGGAAAGCGAAAAUGUCGCGCCAGAGCCGUUACCAAGACGGCCCUUGGACGCCAAAUGAUGAAAAUUACCAACCCCAAUCACAACCACGACCGAAAAGCGUAUCGAUUCGAUACGGUGAAUUUCUUUGCCGACAAGAAAUAAAAUUAUCAUUUGUGCAUUGUACUGCUUAGUGUUUCAAUCGAUAACUAUACUGCGGUAGACAUCUCUAUGUGACUUUUGGAGCUAACUGUAUUCUUCAUCAUUUUAGAACUAUUCGCUAAUGCAUACUUUGGAAAAACUCGACGCGGUCACCAAAUGCUUCUGCAUGAAAAUUACAGCUACGUGCGGGAAAAGCAGAAGCAAAGUACAACCAACUGGAAGUGCUCCUGGCAUGUCAAAUUUCGUUGUAAGGCGCGAGCAGUGACGAAAGAAAUCGAGGGUCAGCAUUUUGUUCGAAUAACCUGCGGUUUCCACACUCAUCCUCCGAACAAUGGCUCCAAGUCUGGUGAUGCGUCGAAACACUACCACGAGAACUAUUAGACAGUGGAAAAUGGUACCAUGGUAAACUACGACCACACACUGGCUCUGUUCAACCGAAGCAUUUGAAAUUAUUUUGUUGAUCAUACAUUGCCAGAAUAAACUUUAUAUACAAAUUAAAGCUUUUUACAUUUAUACGAACAUCCGUUUGUGUUGAUCUAGUACUUCACCAUGUAAACUUUAUAUUCAAACUUAUUUUUGACACUCAUACGAACAACCCUUCGCGUCGUUUAAUCGACUGAUCUAGUACCCCAUCAUGUAAAAUAAUUAUCUUUCCCUCUUUUAGAUGACAUGCACGGCUUCUCGCAACUGGCUCACUAUGAGUUCACGUCCAGAGGAACGCAAUGUCUAGUAUACGAUGGUUAUUUCUACAGCAAAAACAAAACAAACGAGGGUGGCGUCCGGGUCAACUGGAAGUGUCGUUACUAUCAACGGUUCAAGUGUAAAGCACGAGCACUCACUAAAACAAUCAACGGCUGUGAUUAUGUGAAGGUCUCCAGUACGGAGCACACCCACAUGCAAGAGAUGUACUGUAAAGACCUGCGACGGAAGCGGCGUAGAGCUAUACAAACAGGAUCGUUAGACUAUCAAUUCCUGGGCUGAAGAUCUGUGCGACCUAUAAUAAAAAUAUCUUUGUGGAAAACAUAUUCUUUGAUGACUCUGAUUGCUUGUUCGUUUUAGCUAAGCCAGAUGCGACAGAUUAUUUUCAUGCUGAUUUAUUUGGCUGUUUUUUUUUAGCAGGGGCCGACAAAACAGCGGAUCUGGAAAUGGCACAGUUUGGAUCAACCCAGCGGGGGCGACCCCUUCUAGUACAUCAAGACUACACGUACAUCCGCAAUGGAGAGUUUGGCGGCACAAUAAAUUGGCGCUGUUCGGCCUACCGACGACUGAAAUGCAAAGCCAAAGCCAUAACGGUCAAGCACAAUGGCGUGGAGUUCGUAAAACUAUCCUAUGCCUUACACAGCCAUGGCCCCAAGACUGGAAGCGAUCAGCAGUGGAAGCAUGAGUCGGAAACGGUUGAUUUCCUGCGCUGUGAAGAGGAUGAAGAAGCCAUGAUAAAGUGUUUCUUAGAAAAUUGAGAUACGUUGAAUAAAAACGACAAACUUAGAUGUAUUUUCUAUGCAUUUAUUUUGCAUUCUAGUACUACACCUGAGUGUGUUGUCAUUCACAUUAUAUCAUUUUAUCUCCUAUACAGGUAACAUUAUUUAUGUGCUGUCGAAACGAGGCACUAAGCAUCUGUUCUUCGAUGGCAACACGUACACACCGAAUGAGAGACCCUAUCCCGGGCAGCGUUCUAGGACGUGGAAGUGUACGUUGUACUACAGAUUGAAAUGCCGAGCCCGUAUCGUUACCAGUGAAGCCAACGGGCUACCCAAGUUGCGUGUGGUAGUAGCCGAACAUACCCACGAAAAGCUGUUUCCCCAUUUGAGCGAGAAAUUUCGAAGCCUGUUCUAGAUCAACGAAGACACACACCCAAAUCUAGUCCAUCACCGAUUGAUCUCUAUUUUACUCUAGUCUUAUUAAAUCUAAUCGAUUGAGAAAUAAAUGUUCGUGUGCUUAGAUGAUCUGAGUGUUUGGAAGGUUUCAGCUCGUAAUCCUUUUGUCAUGUGUGGUCAGAAGAAUCUAAUCAUUACUGUUUCUCAUUUACUUCUAGACCCAUACGAUUGGGGUCCACUCAGUGCGAUUCGAUUCGUUCACUAUCCGAUUAAAAGCAAAGUGAUAACGAAACUUUUCCAUCCAGGGUUUUCGUACUACCGGAGCAAGCAGGUUAACCAGGCCACCUAUUGGGUGUGCGAUCGUACAAAGCAAAGCAAUUGCCGAGCUCGGAUCACAAUUUUCGAAGAUCAAAGAGUGUACAAAGUGACAAACUCAUAUCACACACAUGACCCAAUGUAUACUAAGCUUUGUUUCUAAUAAAUUCGAGUAAUUCAUCACCCCGUUCUACUACUUCAUCCUUUCUAUUGAUUACUUUUUAUUAUUAAACUUAUCUAUCUUCUAGAAAUCGAUUACAUUCCGCCGACUUCGUUGGUUGCCACCAUCAGACCCGACAUCAGUGUAGUACCAGAACAGUAUUUGGUGAAACUAGAACAAGAGAUUCACAUUUCCACCGUGGUUGGUCAACGAGGCAACACAAAGUUGCUGAUCGAAGGAUACACGUACAUUGUCAACAAGAGAAGUAACGGAAAAUGCUAUUGGGGUUGUGCUAAAGCUGUACCGUUCCGUUGUCGCGCCCGACUGAUACCAGAUGACAUCAAUUUCUACGAUGUGACGUUCAAAAAUCUAGUACACAAUCAUCGUCCAGGCGAAACGAAACGACGAUAAAAACUGGCAUUAGAUCUGCGGUUAUGAAAUAAAGCCAAAUUCUUGAACACUAUCAGUUACCUAUAUUUUGUGAAGUACUAGUUUGAUUUUUCGUUUUUUUUUUUGCUAUCAUCUAAUUCGAUCUCCAAUCUACUUUCAGUGAAGAAAGCACGCCUGUCGGGAGUGCUGAAUCUUGCCGCAUGGACAUUUACACCCGGACAACGAGGUAAACCCAAGCUGGUGAUCGAAAACAAUUCCUUCUUCCGCACCAAAAGGGACACCCAGCGCUCGUACUGGUCCUGUUCGGCGUACAAAUCAAAGAAGUGCAAAUGCAAAGUAGUAACGCAUCGGAAUAGUUUGGUCGUGAAGUACACUCACAAGAGCCAUACGCAUCCGAACGAAUACAACGAUCUGUCCAAGAUCAAUCUGAUCGAUGUGGACAUAAACGAGUUUUACGAUAAACCGGUCGGCGGUGCCGCCUUCGAAGUCAAGAAAGAACCAACACUUUAAAUGUAGUACUUAAAAACUUUGAAUAAAGUGUCUAUUUUGUCACAUAAGUUGGAAGUAGUACUAGAGUUUAAAACAAAAAUAUAAUUUCACUAUUUUUCCAUGAAAUUGUUAAAAUUUUCCCUUUUAUCCGUUUAUAGGUAAAUUGAGAUUUGAAAGAAUUAUAACCAAGCGACCGUGUACGCCCAUGAUGGUUUUGGACGGAUACAAUCAAAUUAAAAUACAUUCUUGCUAUUCAUGUUUUAGAAAAGGAUAAAUACGGAGCCCAGUUUGAAUUCGAGGGCAGAGAUGUGAGGAUUGCGCCUAGUAAGUACGGCUUCCCAAAGUUACACCUGGAUGGGUACAUCUACUUGCGCAAUGUCGAAAAGAGUGGAGAAAAGUCUAUUGGGUGUGCGAGCGCGCGAGGAAGACUAAAUGCAAGGCACGAGCUAUAACAUAUCGAGGAAAAUCACGUAUCACAAUCAACGAGUUCGAUCACAACCACAGACCGGGAAAAAUGUAAAUAUACGUUGACUUUUGCGUAAAUUUGAUCAUGAUCGUCCUUAUUUCCCUGUGCGGCAUUCAUGGUGGACACCCGUAUGGUACGAAUGCAGAACACAAGCAAUAUGUGUCUAAAUGUCGGUUCAUUAAUUUUUAAUGGUAGAACUUGUUCAAAGAUCAUUGUUGUAAAGUUGAUAUCAUGCAUGAUAAACAUCAAUAGGGCACGUUCGGUGUAGUACUAGAUUUGUAGUAAUGAGCUGAAUUUUAGUAUGGUGAGAAGGUCAAUUAUCCGUUUCUGCAAUGAAAUGGUGCAACAAACGUGGGUAUUAUGAUUCCUUGCCUAAUUUGAUGCUGUUUGAGCAAAACUUUGGAUAACUAUGUUGUUUAUGUUGCAAGAAAUGAAGAAAACAACAACACUGUUGCUCAAAGUUUUGCUCAAACAGCAUCAAAUUAGGCAAGGAAUCAUAAUACCCACGCUUUUUCCACCAUUUCAUUGCAGAAACGGAGAAUUGACCGUCUCACCAUACUAAAAUUCAGCUCAUUACUACAAAUCUAGUACUUUACCGAUCUGUCCUAUUGUCUCCUAUUGAGAAAGUUAUGACUAUACACAAUGAAUAUCAUUGCAUUCAUCGUGAGCACCAGUAUAGCGCGAAAGUAAAACACUAGCAAUGUCCGCUAAACAUCCCAUUCAUCAAUUUCAGAUGAUACGAUUUGUGUUCCGUUUGAUAAUUCGGACGUAGCAUUCACCAUCAGUAGGCAGGGAAAACCGAAAAUGAUCUUCCGUGGCCACACUUACCUACGGAACAGCAGCAACGCUCAGAAGACCUACUGGAUAUGUGCUGCGGCCCGGGAACGAAAGUGUCGAUCCCGUGCCAUUACAACCAAAGGCUUGCGCCACGUAACUAUAAGAGAAACGGCGCAUAAUCACUGACUUUGUGAACUAUGGCAAUAUCAAUAAAAAGAAUCGAUAAAAGUUGUUAGUUUUGAUUUUAUCAACUUUUGCAUUCGAAUAUCUGUAUGGAUUGCCAAACUAAUUGCCUUCGGUGCUUGUUUCAGAUCCAUCGCGAAAGUACAAGGAGCUGGUAUUUGUUAGCGGUUUAAGGGGAACACCGAAGCUAAUCGUGGAUGGGUAUUCGUUCAUUCGCAACAAAGGAAAUUUCCGGACCACAUAUUGGCGCUGUUCGAAGCUUCGUUCGUUGGGUUGCAAGGCCAAAGUAAUAACCUCUCAGUUGGACAACAAGGUGUCCGUUACCGAUCCCGUUCAUUGUCAUAUGCCCGACUAUCGACAAUAUAUCUGAAAUUAUUUGUUCAAUAAACAGAAAAGAAAAGCAAGAUGAUGGUGAAACUGCCUUAUUAGGUUGUCAGGUGCAGUACUAGAUCACGAAUCUCACAGCUUAAUUUCCAUUUUUCUCGUCUAGACUAUUGGGUGGAGCUCCUGGCGGAUAAACCGGCGGUAAAUUUCACUUACGUCACCGGUCAGCGUGGAAAACCGAAAAUAUUGUUUGACAAUCAUACCUACAUUUGCUCGAAACAUCUGAAGAAUCGCAAAUACUGGACUUGUGGCAAACAACGAUCGCAAGCGUGCCGGGCACGUCUUAUCACCGAUUCGGACAACACGAUGCUGCUUGCACGCCAGCUUGAGCACACCCAUCCUCCCGAUAUGGACAUCAUCACAAAAUCUAUGUUGUACAGCCAGAAAUAAAUCGACGCGUGGUCCAAAGUUGAAACAUCUAGUACUUCGUGUUUAGUUUAUUUUACUUCAAUUUGUUUUCAAAUUCUUGUACCAUUCGCUAACAAUUCCAUUGUCUUUUCCAGAUCUUAAUCCGCUCAUCGAGUUUGAUUUUAUGACCACUCCCUCUCCCACGCCGCUCAAAUCCCCUUCUCCACCGACUCAUAUCGCUAGUCGACCACCCAGAUCUAGGCGCCAGCGCAAAGCCGAACCAAUCGUUUUGGACGAUCAACCUUUGGUGCUUUUUACAUCACAACGGGGGAAGCACCUUCUAGUGUUAGAAAACUAUACUUUUUCUAAGAAUAACACCGUUGGCGAAACGACAUACUGGGCGUGCCGAGUGGUUACCGAUCACGUCAAGUGCAAAGCCCGAGCUAGUACUACUCGCAAGGUUAAUGGCCUUUUUCGAGUUAUGCUUGGUAAUGCGACACAUAACCACCUGCCAAAAAUGUCACGCAAGGUCCUACUCGAAUGCGGUGUCGAGCCCAAUGUGUUUUAUUUGAAGAGUUGAAUAAAGUGUGUAUUGAAUGCUUGUUUAUGAUUUUUCCAACUUCGGAAUUUCUUACUAAUACGUACUACUAAUCAGCGGUUAUUUGUAUUUCGUUCUAGUAAUGCAAACUCAGAUGACAUCGACUGGUGUCAGGAAUAUUCGGAAGCCGAAUGCAAGGAGAGCACGUAAAUGGAAAACGGAUAAUAUCGACAUACCGGAAAUAUUGAAGGGACCUUCGGAGAAAAUGAUUUUGCAAACAUGCAUCGUCGGUGGAAUGAAAGUCUUAUAUCAGAACAACUACUUCGAGUAUCAUUAUUCCAAAAGUGGAGUGAAACUCUACCGGUGCGCUGCUUUUGCAGAUUUGCAAUGUGAAGCUCGAGUUCUGGUGCAGAACGGGCUAGUUUAUUCGAUUAACGGAGAUCAUUGUCAUUUGAAUGCUGGACAAUAAACGAAAACUGUCCUUUUAUUAAUCAAACUACCAAUCAGUAUGGACUGCAGUACUAGAUUUGAUAGUUCUCAACGUUCUAUUUGAUUUUUUUGUGAAUAUUUCCAGGCGAUCUAUUACGAUCAAUGCAAGACUACAGUCAAAUUCAAACUCAAUUUGAAAUGCCACAUCCGGAGAUGGCUGAAGUGUCUGUACUGUAUCAGCGUGAGCCAGUCGAAAAAGCUGGCGACAAAAAACUCAAUAUUUACACGACAUCAUCACUUAUACUGAAUAAACUACCACUCGGAUCAGGAUCGCAUGCCAAAUCGCUUCCAAGGUCAAUCUCGAAAUCUAAGUCCCACAAGUUGUUGAAUGUACAGCAUAUCACUGCUACCGGGACGCCUUACGAUUUGGUAAUCGUUCCUACCAAAAAGGGUGGUGUCGGGGUUCGGCACGAUGGACACCACUUUGAGUACCAUUUCACUCGCAGUGGACACAAGAUUUACCGGUGUGCGUGGCACUUGAAGAAACGGUGUCCAUCGCAAUUGUUGGUGUUCAACAGAAAGACCUAUGUCAUUUCUGAUGACCACUCGCAUACGGAACUGGCCCGGAUGAGUGAUGACAUUUUGGCUAAGACAGUAGUCUGUUAGUGUAGUCUUCAAAACUCUACGUAUUUUAUGUGCCUUUUUCGAAAUAAAGCAUAUUUUUCAAUUACAUUUAAAUUAUCAUCUAAUUUUGUAGUACUAGUUUUGGCAGUUUUCUGCCAUGGCAUUCAUAUAUGUAACAUCAAAGUUCUCUUUCGCUAUAGUACCUUUCAGCAAUGCGCAAUUUGUGAUGAGUACCAAGGGAUCACCACAGCUCUGCAUCGACGGAUUUCCAUUCACACGACACAUCGUGAAGGAGGACACGAUCUACUGGAGAUGUAUACAAUUCCGUGCAUUGCGGUAAGCAUGAGUCGAACAUACGUAUUUGAAGUUGGCAUUCUGGAGCGAAGGAAACGUGGCACAUUGCGAGAUAUUCUACUACAGCGCAAACGGAUGAACCAGAAAUCCGCUCCAUCUGAAGUGAAACCACACCCGACUACUAGCGCUGAAAAUGACAAGCCAAUCCCGGAAGAAACAUACGCUGCGGAAUAUCUGCUAGCAGAGCUAGAGGAUUUCGUUUUAAAAAAUGACUAAUCGUGAAUAUGUGACAUUCUAGUACUUCGUCAAAUGUGUGAGAACACUGUUACUGUUAUUGUUCACGAUAUAUUUAUCAUUGUCCGUUCACCGUUGUCUCUGGACAUUGUUGAUUGUGCUUAAUAAACGCACUUCACUUGUUUUGCACUAGUACUUCGUCAAGUUGUAGAGCAUUUAUCGGUAUCUCUGCCGACGCAAAGCGAGAUAAAAACCAAUAAAUUUUUAUUUACACAUAUUUUGUUUUAUUCUAGUACUCCAUCGUACUCCAGAUGGUAUUGAAGGUAGAAUUCCUGCUUAUUUAUAAUUAUUUAUCCACUGUAGGUCAUGAAGCCGUAAUCCAUUACACCAUGAGCCGAAAAGGGACGGCCCAGCUGGAGAUCGAUGGGUAUCGCUACACGAGACAGAAAAUUUGCAAAACCACAAUCCGAUGGGAGUGUCUUCAGACGAAAGCGUUGGCUUGCAAGGCACGGGCCACCACCAGUAAUACCCCGAAGGGACUUGUGCAGUACUACAAUAAUACACACAACCAUCCACCGCACAUGGAACGGCGGAAGGCUGGCGAACUGCGCAAAUUGAAACAACAAACGGCGGAGAGGCUGAAGCUUUUAUAACCCGAUCUUUUGGAGAUCCAUUACAAUGUUUAGAUAGUAAUAUACAAAACUUGAUAAUCUAUUACAUAAAGAUAACGUUGACGACAACACAUAUAGCCAUAAUAGCCUUUGCUCAUCACCUAGAUAUGUAUUUGGUCAUUUGUCAUUUCGCCAUCCGUCUGGAGCCCUUUGCAAUGAACACUAUUAAUUGAAAUAUUCUAGUACCUUAACAUGUUUUCAUCGUUUAUAUUUUAACCAAUUUCGACAUUUUACAGAUAGCACCUACUCGAACAUUCAGUAUGUAAUGAGUUCGAGAGGAGCGCCCCAGCUGGAUAUCGAAGGGUUUCGCUUCACGAGAAAACAUAAAGGCAAGCAAGCUAUCCAGUGGAUUUGCGUGCAAAACAAAGCCAUCCAGUGCAAAGCGCGAGCUACUACUACUUCGCGAGGGAUGAUGCGUCAGCUGAUCAACAUCCACAAUCAUCCUCCUCAAAUGCAGCGACGGAAGGCGGGUGAGCUGCGUGAGCUGAAGCGCCAAAUGGAAGAACGGACAAUGUUGUUGUAUGAUUCCGCUAUGUGAACAUAAAUCACUAGAAAAGUAUAUGUUGGGGCGGUUUUCUAGUGAAACUGGCAACACUGGACAAAUACGAAGAUAGUCGAGGAGCACGCAAUUUAGUGUACAGUUGGAAGUAGAAUGCCUCUGUGAAGAAUUUUUGUUUUUUUUUAGAAAAGUAUAAGCCAAAAGUUGAUUAUGUUGUACAUAUAAAGAUAAAAAGAUUAUAGUUUGUUCUCGUCAUGCAUCUUUAUAGAUAAAUGACUUAUUUUGCUAAAUCAACUUUUCAUAAAUAUACCUUAUUUAACCGCUUAUUUAACAUUUCGUUGCAUUGAAGUGGAUUUAGCAGUCCUAAAAAUGAAUCAACUAUGCAAAGUUCAAUUCCGGAGUUAUCUGAAACGCCUCUGAAUCGAAUUAGAAUGCUAAAUAAUUGUGACGUAUACGACUAAUCGCUAAAUAAUUUCCAUGGCUCAGCUCUAGGCUAUUUCGAAAACGGACCACUUCCACCCAUCCACUACCACACGACAAAAAGAGGAUCUCUUCAGCUGGAAAUGGACGGCUAUCGAUUCACAAGAAUGAAAGUGCUGCAAACCACCAUUCACUGGUCUUGCUUGCAAACAAAGGCACUUCGCUGUAAGGCUCGAGCCGUAACCAAUAACGACCUGCAGGGUACUAUCCGAAGGUACGUCAACUAUCAUAAUCAUCCGCCUAGUAUGCGACGUCGCCAGCAUGGGGAUUUGCAGCGGAUCAAAGAGGAUCGAAUGACUGUGAAAUCGAAGAAACAGUGAUAUGGUGAAUUGUUAGUCAAGUUAGCAAUUGUUUCGAUGGAAUAAAAUUGUUUUACUUUAUACACAUAAGCGUUCAUUUUUAUGGUGCUGAGGUUUACUCUGUAUGGCUUCUUUUAAAGUAUGCUGAAUUUAACUAUUGCAGAUAUUAGUCGGUUCGAGGCAAACUACGUUUCCAGUAGAAAAGGAACUCCUCAGUUGAUGAUCGAUGGUCAUUGCUACAGCAGGCAAAGGGUUCGCUUACGAACUAUUCGAUGGCGUUGCGUGCAGUUUAAAGCUUUACAUUGCAUGUAACGGGCGACAACCGAUCGUCAAAAAGGCGGUCAGAUCAUUUCAGUCGAUGGAGAACACAACCAUGAAGUCAUCAAAGAGCGGAGGAAGAAUGGCGAACUUCGGGAACUGCUGGCCAGGUGACAUGCUGAACGAACCAGCACAUGUGUCAAUUUAAAAGUUGAAGAUAUAGACAGUUGAAUAAAUCAGUCUUUGUAUGCUAUACCAUUUUCGCUUUUUAUGCAGUACUAGAAUGUGGCAGUAAAAUAAUCUGUGAAGAUAAAUUGAACGUUCCAAUCUUCUAUACAGAUUGCUACACAUACGAAGAGCUGGAUGUGCACGCUAAACUGAGCAAGAGAGGCAAGGUUCAGCUGAUGAUCGACGGGUUUUCGUUUUCGCAUGAAAAGGUUCGUCCGCAUACCAUUCGAUGGAUUUGUAAUCAAGCAUGGGUUUUGAACUGCAAAGUUCGAGCUACCAGUGAAAAAAUGAGCGGAAAACUUAUAUCGGUCCGAGGAGCGCACAACCAUGGCGUUGUCAGCAGUCGGCGAAAGUGGGGUCAAUGUAAAUUCAUCAAAGAACAAUACGAGAGGGAUUCGGAGCAGUCAGUGGAACCUUCACGUAAAGGAGGAAGACCCAAAAAGCAGAUGGAGCAAUGGCAACUAUAGGUUGAGAAAGUGUAAUUUCUAACAAUAAAUACACUAUUAAUAUAUUCAUUACGUGCUUUCCUUUAGUGUGCUUUAAUGAGAGUUUAGUUAGAAAAUUUCAUCAUUUGUUAAAUUUCUUUCAGGCAACUUUUCGUACGUAAUGAGUCGUCGAGGAACACUGCAGUUGCAGAUCAAUGGUCACAUAUUCACUAGAUCGCAGGUGCGCGAAAAAAUAAUAAUUUGGGUUUGCAGUCAAAGGAGAGCCCACCGUUGUAAAGCUCGAGCGACAACAAGCCGUAAAGAGGGAAGCGCUAUGAUUUCGCUGAGAGAGGAUCAUACUCACGAUGUUAUUACCGGAAGGAACAUUCGUCGAAAAAAGAUUGUGCCGACUUCUGCAGUUAUUCUUUCCGCCACGGAAUCCGACUUGGAAUAUGAUGAAUACGAUUUGUUAUGAUAAAUAUAUGUAUUUGCAAAUCACACAUAUAUUCUUUUCUCAAUUGUUAUUCUAGCUCUAAAAGACGAUUUGACAAAGUCUUAAUUUUAUGUGUUCCAGUUCCGAAGGACGUGGCCUACAUAAUGACGAGCCGAGGAAUACAACUAACGGUCAACGGGUACAUAUUUUCUCGUCAAAAAGUCUCCACGCACUGCGAAAUGUGGCGCUGCAUGCUUUCGUACUCUCAUAGUACUACUUUAAUUUGAUGCCUUGUUUGUGUCCAUGGAGCUUGACUACAUAUUACGUAAAUCUUCAGGUGUCCAGCCCGGGCAAGCACGUACAAACCACGAAACGGUCAGGGUGCUCGAAUUUCUCUCCGAAACCAGCACAACCAUCCGAUCGGCGCGACCAGCCGCAAGUAUAAGAAACCAGCAGUAAAUAAAUCACCCAAGUUGCCAAAAGCUCUCAGCGUAAAUAAACCAAAGACCUCCACAGAGCAGUAGCAGUAUAGUUAACAUUAACAUUCGCAUCGCAAAUAUAAGAUUUAAAAAAAAUCAGUGUGAUCCUUUCCGUGUAGUACCAGAUCUAGCUUGGAGGUUAUGUUUUGAUGUUGAUUAACUACUUUUCAUUUCUAGAAAUCAGUGACAUAUCUUUCGUGAUGACCAGAAGGGGCCGAAUGCAGCCGUCAGUCAGUGGAUAUCUUUACACCAGAGAUAAAACACGAGGGGAUUCACAGUUCUGGGCGUGUAAUCAGUCAAAAGUGUUGAACUGCACUGCACGGGCAACUACACACAAGGUGCAAAAGAACGGCUCACCGAGGAUAACUCUACGAGGACAGCACAAUCAUGAAGUGAUCACAGAACGACGAAAAUCCGGAGCGCGUGCCCGUCUGAUCGAGAAAUGCCGGAAAGAACGUGGUCUUGUACCUUGAUGUCAGUAGGAAAAUGGUAAAUUUUGAUGAAUAUAAUGUAAAAUUUGCGUAAUUGAAUUAUGUUUAAAGAUGGAUCAACUAACGUCAUAAUAUAGUACUACCUUAAUAACAAAAACAUUUUGAAAUAUUGCAGAUAUUAUGUAGUUUUGUUCUUACCAAACGAGGGACACCCAGCUAUUGGAAAAUGGAUAUAUAUACACGAGAGUCAAGGCUCUAGGAGCAAUGUUCUAAAGUGAAUGCCAAUUCAAUCACAUGAUCAUCAACGAUCGACGCCAAGCCGGUCAACGAGCCAAACUUGUGGAGCAAUGUAUUCACGAAAAAUGCUUGAAGCGAUAGCGGUGACAUAUAUUCUAGUACUUUAUCGUUUCAAUGAUAUUAAUAAAUGCUGUUACAUUUUGAAUGCCUAAUGUGUUUUGCUCUAGUACUACAGUUAAAAUGCGUUGCAAUUCUCAUUACUAAAAAUUUUUUCCAUUAAUUCAGAUAUCUCAUUCGUCAUGAGCAAACGAGGUAAAACUCAACUUUGUGUCGAUGGAUUUCUCUACAUGCGCGUGAAGGCUAGCGACGAAUUGCAGUACUGGUCGUGCAAUCAGUUCCGGGUGCUUGGCUGCACGGCUCGUGCCACAACUGGAAGGGGGAAAAGAGACGGCAAACCGAUCAUCAAGCUGCGCGGUUUUCACAAUCACCGGAUUAUUAUGCAGCGUCGAAAACCUGGCGAAUGUGCUAAAUUGAAAGAGCAAUACGCUCGUGAACGAGACGGGCUACCAGAGAGGACUGAACAUGCUGUACCAGAACAAACGGUGCCUUUAUCAAUACCAGCGGUAUCACAACCGUCGCUUUUACCGAUGGCACAGUGCUUUUUGAAGCAAGAAAAAUAAAUGUGAAUUGAUGACGUAUCUUUUUCGGUAUUCUAUUACUUCGUCGCUUAUAUAUUGAGCUGAUAUAAUGCGAAGUAUUGUGUCAUUUCGGGAGGUCUGUAGUAUGCAAUAGAUAUUAUUAUCAAUAAACUUAAAAACGUUGAGUUAUACUUAAGAUGUUGCGAUCAGGGUUUACAAGAAAAGUUAAUAAUCACACUAAAUCGCGUCGUGCCAUUAACGAUAAAUAUCCACAAGUUGUAACAAAUUGAAAAACUAUAAACCAUAAUAUGUAGAGUGAAACCUCAUAUUUUUGUUCUUAAUGGAAAAAAAUGACUGUUGUAGUGCUACAGAGAGAGAAAAAACAAUCACAUUAUUUUCGCUCAAAGCUAUUUCUAAAAAAUAUGCAACGUGUUUCGAAGAAUUUUCACCGAAUCGUUCACGCAUUUGACAUUAUUACAAAUCUCGUUGCAGUUGUCUGUCCAGAGGAAAUUUCUUUUGUAUUGAAUUACCGAGGAACGCAGAACAUGGUGAUUCGGAACCACUUCUUCGUUCGCAACAAAAUUUCCCAACGGUAUCUUUUCUGGAACUGUGCCCAGAAGAAAGCUCUAGGCUGUCGCGUUCGAGCUACAAUGCCACGCCCACCCAACAAAGGACCUGUCAUAUGCCGAGGGGAACACAAUCAUGAAGUGGUUUCCGAACGACGAAAGCAUGGCGCUCUCAGAGAAUUACUGAACAAACGAAAGCUAGAUAAAGAGCAGUCGAGUACAAAGAGAUGUAGAAUACAUAAAAAUUAAGUGAAAUUACUUAUCAUAUGCCUUUUUAGAUUUGAAUACUCAAAUUUUUCAUUCCGGAGAUUUAUUAUGUAUUGAUGUGUUACAGAUAACUAUAUCAGCGAUAAUGCAUCCGAAAUGGAUAUAUGCUACAUGGUGACAGCCCGUGGGACAACUCAGCUGGUUGUAGAAGGAUAUCCGUUUACCAAACUCAACGAGCGGGCUCAUAUGACGUUCUGGGCGUGCUGUCAAGCUAGACCUUUAAAUUGCAAAGCCCGAGCCACAACAUAUCGCGCUUCGAGGGAUGGAAAAAUCACGUUCAGAGGAGAGCAUAACCAUGGCAAAAUCCAUGAACGGCGCAAAGCGGGUGCGCUCAGAAAACUACUCGAGCAACGUGACAAAGAGAAAGCUCGACAAAAAUUGUUGAAAUCAGUGGGGAUUGUCUAUGAUUAAAUGAGCCACAUGAAAUGAUGCUGUCUUUUGUCUAUCGUGAAGUAAAAAUGGCAUCAUUGCUUGAUUCUGAAUGUUAUAAGUAGUGUUGCCAAAUUUUCUAAUCUGAUUCAUGGUUUUAAAUAAACUUAAAUUGAGAUGUGUUUAGAAAUCUAGACAUUCGUUACGUGGACACGAGCAGAGCGCAUAAGCUAGUCAUACAGGGUUACAGCUUCACCCGAAAGCAAAAACGGGAACGAUACACGAUUUGGGAAUGUUGCCAGUCGAGACCGUUGGGAUGAAAAGCAUCGGUCACCAUCUAUGUGACAGGAAACAAAGUGAAUAUGCGAGGAAUGCACAUGACGCAAAGACGAAGACUGGGCUAGCGCAAACGGUUGAUGGAGGCAUGCCUUAAGGAGCGUAUCUGGCAGAAAACCGAAAAAGAGAAGUGAUUGUCGCAGGGAACUUCAAUUUGCCUGUCAUAAAUAUUACUUACACUAUUAAAAAAAUAUAUAUAAAAUAUCUAAACGAUAGUUUUGUUUUUGCAAUGUGAAGCUCGAGUCAUGGUGCAGAACAGGUUUGUUUAUUAAGUUAACGGAGACCAUUGUCAUUUGAAUGCUGAACAAUAAAUAAAAACUAUCAUUUAGAUCGGAUCAUUAUCAACGUCCUAACUGAUUGUUUUUUGUGUGAAUAUUUUCAGGCGAUCUACUACAAUCAAUGGAAGACUAUAGUCAAGUUCAAACCGAAUUUGAAAUGCCACAUCCGGAGAUGGCUGGAGUGUCUGUACUGUAUCAGCGUAAUCCAGUCGAAAUAAUAGGCGACGAAAAACAUGCUAUAGACCCCAGCAAAGACGUCAGCUUCGUAUUGCAAGGCAACCGUCGCAAACUGUAUGUCAAAGACCACUGCUACUACCGGAAACACACUUUAAAAAAUCACACACAGUGGCGUUGCACUGAAUACAGAGCCUACGGGUGCUUGGCUUCGGUGAAGGUGUCGCGAAACGGAUUACAAAUGACUCUCCAAGGAGUGCACGACCAUCCCGUCAAGAAGGAGCAUCGUCGAGAAGGCCAGCUGAGAGAACUUAUGGAAAAACGAAAGCAAAUGGUUAACGAACGAAAGCAACAGCGCCGAAAGUAAACUUGCAACAGCAUUGAAUCAAAUAUACCUACCCUUUUGAAUAAUUUUAAUCUUGUUUGAAUGUUUCUGCGUGUAGCUUUUUGAUCUGCAAGUGCCGCCAUCAUUCACUGUUGGUUCAAUUUCAGAGCUGCCGAAGUCGUUUUUCGUUUUGAGUGGCCGAGGAAAUCUCCAACUGUCGAUCGAUGGAUACGUGUUCACGCAAGAGCUGGUCAAGAACAACGACAUAGAUUGGGCUUGUUCGCAAUCAAAAGCUUUGCGCUGUAAAGUUCGCGCGACGACAUCUCGUGGGAAAGAUCGCAAGGUGCUCUCGAUCCGAGGCGAACACAAUCACGGGAUAAUUACUGAACGUCGGAAAAGCGGUGCCUUGAAGGCUCUGCUGGAACAACGCAAGAAAGAGCGCGAUGAGCGACGAAUGAGAUUGGGUGGAGUCUUUUCACCAGCAGUCUAGAAAACUGUAUUGGAUAAAUAAAUACUACACGAUAAUAAUGAAUUGUUUGAUUAUAAUCUGAUUGAAGCAAUAGAUUUGUUGGUGGUUUCACCUCUACUUAUCUAUUUUGACCUACUUUUUGUCUCGUUUAUAGUUGCAUAUUGUUUCCAUGACGCCUCAGAAGCAGUAAGAAAACCAAACGUUCAGUAUUCAUUGAGUAACAAAGGCACCCUGGUGCUGUUACUGGAUGGGUUCUCUUUCUUCAAGGAAAAAGCACGCAACGGUUCUACCUUUUGGCGAUGCUCGCAGUAUUUUGCGCUUAAGUAAGUGAAACUUUGGCAUGAUUUGUGACUUUUCUUUGGGUGCUUUAAUUUUGGCGUUUAGGUGCCGAGCUCGCGUUCGCAUGCCGCUUCCACCGAACGAUGCAAAUCUAGUUCGCCGAGGAGAACAUAAUCACAUCUCCGAACGACGCAAAUAUGGCUCUCUAAAAAACAAUAUGAAAAACGAUGAAGAAAUUACGCAGUACCAUGAGAUCUCUGACAAGGGGUUGCUCAGUAAAUGAUAAUAUGUCAUUUUAAAUAUCCGUAAAAAGAUUACCAAAGAGAAAUUCGAUGAAAAAUAAUGUUAUAUUGUAGUACUAGAACACGUGUGUAUUAUUUUCAUUUCAGUUCGUUUCUCAAUGUUACACACGGAUGAACUAAUCUUUGUCGUGCAUUCGUUUCAUUUAUCUCCUGCUUGUCUCUGGCCUGAUUCUCCUUUCGACAGAAAAUGGAACCAAACCAUACGUCCAAUAUACGAUUAGUAAUCGUGGAACUCCAUUGCUAAUGCUGGAUGGAUUCGCCUUCUCCAGGGAUAAAGUACGCAACAGUGUUACCUCAUGGAGAUAUUGUCAACACCGUACACUUAGCUGCAAAGCUCGCGCCAAUGCCGUCCGGGAUCGCAGUGGCCAAAAGAAAAUCGUCAUCAAACACUUUCACAAUCAUCCGCUUGUAAUCGAGCGUAAAGAGAAACGUUCAUUAAAAUAAAAUUAUGCGCUACUUCUAGUAUCUCAGCAACAGUUAGCUAAAAGCGAAAUAAGUCGUGUUUUCAUUUUCGUUUUUGUUUACAGUUUUUCGGUAACGUCCGAUGAAAUCUAUGUAUCUACUAAUGAAAAAUAUCGAUCUGCAUUCUAGGGAUGGUGACGUACACUACAAGCCGUCGAGGUCGUCGACAGAUCUGCUACUUCGGACACUCAUUCGAGAUGGAAAAGGAACGGAAAGGGUCCACCAGCUGGCGAUGCGGUCAGGCAAAGCCUCUCAAAUGCAAGGCCAGAAUUAUCGAACGCAUUUCAAAGUACGGCGACCCAAUGUAUGAAAUUGUGCGUUCGACGCAUAAUCACGACAUUAUAACUGAGAGGAGGCCACGAGGGUGGUUGAAAGGUUAUAAUGAGCUAUCAAUAAUGAAAAAAGAAGAACAAUAAAUUCACAGUUCCUUGGCAUGUAAUCUAGUACUACUUUUUGGAAUUAUAUUGUUACAAUGGACUCAAGUAGUUCAUCACUACAAACCUAUUUUGGCUAGUAAUCUAGUACAACCCAUAUAUAUAAUUUAGAACAAUUUGACUGGCUUUAUUGACCUGGAAUUACAAUCUAGUACAACUAUACAGCUCAAUGUAUAUUCCAGUAGCAACAAAAUAAUCAACUUUUGAACUAUUAUAGGACACUGUUACGGUUCGGCGGAGUACUCAAUCAGCCUCAAAGGCUCCCUGCAGUUGAUGGUGCAGGGAUUUCCGUACACUCGCCAUAGCUGCAAGGGCGGCAAGGUCUACUGGCGGUGCGUGCAGUUCAAGUCACUUGGCUGUCGGUCUAGGGUUCGUACUCACCAGGAGCUAUUCGAGUCGAUAGAGCACGAACACAAUCACGAUCGAAUGUUGGCCAGGCGUAAACGAGGAGCUUUGAAGCAGUUGAUGCAAGAGAGGAAGCGCGAGAAAUCUCUUGUUGCACUGGAUCAGUGUGACUUGGUUGAACUUGACUGGGUUGAAUAAAAGUUUCUGUUGCUAGAUGACCUUGCUGGAUUGUUAAUGUCAAUAACAACUCUAAAAAAAAGUGUGACUGUAGAAUGUGACGGAGUUUCGUCUUUCAGAACCUAUCUCAUUGAUACAGGUGAUUGCCGUAGUACCAGACGAAGCGGAACCUCAUCCCUAUAGCUAUAACUAUCGUGGAAAUCUUGUGUAUGAUAAGUACACCUUUUCCAAAACGGCGGCUCACGGGACAGGCAACAUUGUCUACUGGAGGUGCACGGGCUAUCGUAAGCAUAAAUGUAGAGCUACAUUGAAAACGCGAGGCAAGGAGUUGAUCGUGGUUCGCCAGGACCAUAACCAUGAGCCCUUCGUGAAGGGAAGCGUUUUCACUUCCGAUUUGCCAAUUUGGAAGGUAAGAUUUUCUGUACUGAAGAACUUUCAAGGAAUUUAAUUCUGAUUAUUUUUAUUUUUGCAGGAAACAACGGGAUCUAACGCUCAUUAAAAUUUACCGUUUUACUCUUUGCUAUGAGGCCACAUUGGAAUUUACUUAAUAAUAAUUACAAGAACAAUACAUUACAUUUUUGCAAACAAUAAUCUUCAUUGUUUUUCUACCAUACCAUUAAUAUGAUCUUGCGUUCUAGUACUACACAACUUUAUACUAACGUUACAUUUGUAUUCCUCCAGGGAAACUUCUGUCGAUUUCGACAAUGCCGCUCAUAUUGAAAAAGAUCAAAGUCAAGCGUACAAAACCGCCAUCUCCGUUGAAAUCCGUUCCUGCAAUGAAUGCCUCAUCUGAACGUCCGACCGUGGUAAGCGCCGAUCCGGAUCAACUGCUCAGGCUGGACAACAGUACAAUUUCCAAAGACAAUAUCGUCAAGCAGCUAUCGAACGGCCAUGCUCUAGUACUGCUGAAGAGGACACGCGUCAAAGGUUUUUGUGUGAGCUGUAUUCGUUCCAUGCAGGAUCCGGAGUACAAGAAGAAGUUGAACAAAAUUAUUACCUACUGCUCGGGAUGCCCCGGUGGGCAGUGGAUCUGUGAAGCGUGUUUUGAUUCCAGUCACGAUAUAAAGAACUAAAUGAAUAAAAAUUUAAAAUAUCCAGCUACUAUCGAUAGUUAUUUCUGAUUGUGAUUCCUUUUUAUCAAUACUUUUCAAAACUAACAGAGUUCCUAUCAUUUUCAGGUAAAGCUCUGUUCCAGAUCGGCAACCGAAACUCGCUGAAGCUGUUCUACAACGGACACUUCUACACAAGGUCCUACACGGCGGAAAAAUCAAGCAAAUGGGUCUGCGACAGGAAAAACAUGCUCAAAUGCAAAGCUCGAAUACGCCUGAACCGAGACAAAACUUGUGAUGUACUGAACGCCAAUCACAACCAUCCGGCUCGAAACCCUAGAACUAUCGGAAUGCUGAUCGAUUUCACCGAUCGAGAUUUGAGCACCAUGCUCCAGAAGGAUACCGUCAAAGAAUCUCCCAAUCCCAAUCGUUGCGGAAUAACUAAAAUGAAAAUAUAAUGAAUGAAUCAACCAACAUUUUUAACUGUCCACAUUCUAUUACUUCAUCUUACGAAUCGUAGCAUGACACUUCACUAAAACCUCUCCUUGACUUUUCGUUCCAGUGCACAAGAUCAUGAAGCUACAGAAACGACUCUACUACCUCAAAAAGGUGUCCGGAGAGUUUGUUCAACACGGAGAAAAUCCAGUUUCUUCGCAGAUUGAGUACUUGCAACGCGAUCUGAAUGUGCUUACGGGGACUCUACCGAAAAUGGAGAACGCUCCGGACUGUAAGCCAUCUUCCGUUCCGGGAUUCGAGUUCCCUCUGACCGAGCAGGAGGAAAUUGAACGCUUGGAGGCGGAGGUACGAAACGAUCCGUAUGUCCGGUGCCAAUAUGUGAACUAUCUUAUCAACAAAAAGCCAGCGCCGAUGAAUCUAAUACAGUUUCUACCAAUGGUGUUUUCCGAUGAGGCCCUUAUUGCCUACAACUAUCAUGGUUCGCAUGCUUCCGGAAAAUCUAAGCAUUCGAUGAAGGCGUACACCAUUUUUUCGGAAUGCUUUUUGGAAGCCUUCGAAGGAGAAGGAUUGGAUAUGGACGCAUUGACCAAGCAGCUGGUAAUGGCCAUCAAACAGAGCCGGAACCGUAUGCGGCAACGCACAUUCCGAGCGAAGAAGACGCUACAACGAAUCAGCAGCGACAAGGGUUCUGAGUGAUUAGUGUGGAACGGGAUGUCUUGCUUUCAGAAUUUAAGUACAUACAAUAAAAAUGAGAAGAAGUGAAUGAUUAACUGCGAUGUUCUUUGACGUACUAGAAUGAAUAUUGUUGUCGGUUUAGUUUAAAAAUAAUGUUUCUUCGCUAACAAUUUGAACCAACUCUUGAUUGAACAGGAACUGUUGACGUAGCUCCAAAAAUGAUUCUGAUGAAGUUGGAAAUGGAACGUUUGGCACAACGCAUCAACGAGGGCCCUUUGACCAUAGAUGGUGAGGACGAUUUGAGCAAGGUACGAUCACUUCGCAAGGAGCUGAAACAGUUGGAUGAAGAAUAUCAAAUGCUCAACAAAGCUGCCGGAGCAAGUAAUAAGCCCAAGGUCACCGGAUUUAUGUUUCCCAUUAGUCGCGAAGAGGACAUCGAACGGCUGGAAGCUGCGGUACGCUGCAAUAGUGACAUUCGAGCUCAAUAUGUCGAAUAUCUGAGCGUCACAAAACCGCUUCGCCAGGGCGUCGGGCAGGUGUUCAACAAGUACUUCACCGACGAAGCCAUGACCAACUACAACUGGCACGGUCUGGAUAGGGCACAGUAUCCACGAACGCCAAAGAAAGGCAUGCAGAAGUAUGAUAUAUUCUACGGUUGUAUGAUUGAUGCAUGGGAAAGUCACGGACUCGAUAACGAAACACUUGUCGAGCAGAUUAAGAAAGCAGUUUAUCAUAUAAAUCGACGUCGGUACACCAAAAAACAGUCCCUGAAAAAGAAGUACACGAUUGUUGAAGUACAAGAGUAGAUAUUAUAUUGGAUGAUUUUUUUAUGACGAACCUUCUCCAGCUUCUUCAUGCAAGAUAACUAUACGUUCUACGAUUGCAUUUUAUAGGUUGAACUGUAGUACUAGAUUGACAUAUAAUUUUGAUUUAUUUUACUGCCACAUUUAUACGCGUCGAAAGGUGUACCACCGCCUAUGAAUAUCGAUAGUUGAAUAAAAUUGCAGAGAACUCUUUAACCAGCUUUGAUAUAAUAAAAUUCUAGAAAUAAUCUAUUAUUUAUUUAUCAUACAGCUGACUAUCUGCUAUCUGACACACUCGCAUACUUCCAGAUACAUUUCGGCCCAACCUGGCAAAGCGUAAACAAGAGCUGUUGAGGUACCUGAAGCCGUUCAAACGACCCGAACAACCGCAGCGGAAAGUUUCGGUUGAAGGAUUUUCCUUUCCAGUGUACACCUCGGACGAGGUGGAACGACUAGAGGAAGCUGUCCGCUCAUCCAGAAAUAUACGCCGCCAGUACGUAGCCUAUCUGACCGAGCGGAAACCUCGCCACAUGGACAUUGUAGAAUGUUUCGGCAAGUUCUUCACCGAUGAAGCGAUGGCUCCGUAUGCGUGGAAUGGGUACAAGAAUCCAAAGUUUCCACGCAAGGCAAUGAAAACUAUGGACAUCUUCUCCUACUGUAUGCUUGAGGCUUGGCAACGACACGGAGUUACUUCGAUGGACAUCCUCUCGGACAUCAUGACCAAGGUGAUCACGAAGAUUGCCGGUCGUCGGCGGUCCAACAAUUAUAACCAACGGAAGCGCAUCCAGCAGUUUUGUGACAAACAUAAUGAAUAAAUGCUCAAUUGAUUGUUUGAAUAUUUGUGUUUUUAAAAUUUUUACAGUUGCUAUGUUAAAAAAUAGGAAAAUGUUGUGCAUAUUAAUUCAAAACCGUUUCGUUCCAGAUGUGGUAGUUAUCAAGGAAGACUUGCACGAGGCUUCUUCCACGGGUGUGACCGGGUUCAGCUUUCCGUUAUUCUGCGAGGAAGACGUUGAUCGGCUCGAGGCUGCAGUCAAGAUGGAUCCUAUGGUUCGCCGGCAAUAUAUAAAACAUUUGAAAUCCCUAGGAGAGUACCAACCCAGUUCGUUUGCGAAGUAUGUGAGUGAACUAUUCAGUGAUCUCUCGCUUUACAACUACUGCGUUACAGUAGACGGGAAUGAACAUACUAAUAAGAAGGAUAUGAUUGGAUACGACAUUUUCACGCACUGUUUACUUGAAGCCUGGGUGCCACAAGGUCUGACGAUUUCCAAACUGACCGAGCUAUUGAAAUCGGUGACAGUUAGCCUCAGCGAGAGACGACAAUUGUCCAACCGAAACCGCCGAAAACGAUCGGAACUCAUUCAGAAGUGGCUCCUAAAGGAGAAUCCAAAACAGAAAUCUUAAAAAUACAGUGAUCAAUAAAACUUUCUGAAAAAAGAACUACAUAUUCUAAAUUUUCAUUCUCUCUAACAUGCAGUACUAGAAAGCUGUAUCAGAAACCUAGUAACGCAAAUAAUUUUAACGUUACAGUGAAAGGUCCAUCCACUGGAGCUACGUCACAUAAGGAUUUUGAACAAUUGAAGCUAGAACUGGCGCAACUGGAUGUCCUUUUUAGUCAACGCCGGGAGACAAAAAAUAACGCAAGUGGACGGUCGAUGGUGGAUGGUUUUGUGUUUCCACUGACAACGGAAGCCGAUGUGGAAAGGCUGGAAGCGGCAGUGGACUCGAGUGCCACCAUAAAGAGACAAUAUAUUCAACUGUUGAAAGCCAAAAAACCGAAACAUAUAGAUCUGGUGGAUUGCUUCCCAAUGAUUUUUGGUUCAGGCUCUAUGGAAGCCUAUACCUGGAGUGGAUGUCGGAUAUCAAAAUUUCCAAAGAAAGCGAUGAAAAAUUACUCAAUUUUCAACGGAUGCAUGUUAGCUGCUUGGGAAACACAGGAAAUGGACAUCAAAACGCUGGAGGAGAACAUCAAACAAGCUAUUCAUCGCAUCCGAAAGCGCCGGUUGGCAAAAACCUUUUACGAUAAGAAAAAAUCCACCUCUGAAAUGUGAUAUUUUGUCGAAUAAAAUCCAUUGAAAUCCAAUGCAAUGUGUGUCGCAUUUGAAUGAUAAUUUUUAGUCGAAUCAGAGAUCACCUAACCUCGUUCAUUGCUUGUUACAGAUGUGUUCUAUAUAGCUGAAACCCGUAGCCCUCGAACCAAAAAGGGUGAAAUCCGGUUGAAUAGGCGAUCGUUCAAAUUCGCGGUAAAUGAUGACGACGAAUCGAACGAUGAAGCGGAAAAUCCUAUGUUCCGGUACGUGCCUGGUUUCAGAUUUCCGUUGAAAACGGCCGAAGAUAUUGAAGAUCUCGAGCGCAGCGUUCGCACAAGCACCACCAUUCGACGACAAUAUAUUGAACUGCUACGGAAAGCACGUCGACUGGUCGAGAAACCAUCGUUCGCCUUCCUGAAGUUAUUCAGCGACGCAGCACUGCUGGACUACAACUACAGCGGGCGAUGCAACUUUUCCGGAACACAGAAAAAAGCUAUGAAGGAUUACAAAAUCUUCGCUGAGUGCAUUGUUGAAGCUUGGGGUGGGGAAUCCUACUCGAUAGAAGAGCUUCGACAGUAUUUAUGCAAUGCGAUCACAUUGGUUAACAAUAGAAAACGAGGGGCUCGCUUCCGCAAGAACCAGCGAAGUACUAGAGGAGACAAGAAAUGACCCCGCGGAUGAAAACUGUGCUGGGCAAGCGAUCGAAAAUGAUACAUAAUGCUCGCAUCUGUUAAACUGAUGCUUAUUUGAGAAAUAAAAACUUAUUAAUAUUAUUGUGUACCGAAUGGUUUAGUGGAAGAGCAAUUUUUCAAAUAUCAAUCAAAACGUACAAGAAUUCUUCCAAAUUUGAAUCGAUAUUUUCUUUUAUAAUGUGACUGUACAAAAUCUAGUACUACACAUUUUUGUUAAGGCUCAAUUAAACUCAUACAAUUAUUUCAAUUUUUGCCACGAAGUUUAAAUCACUGCCCUAUUAGAUUGCAUCGCAGUUGAUUUACUCAAAAAUUGAAAUAAUAAUAAAUUCAACUCUUUUCAGCAUGGCGUUUGCGCCUCAAAAACCCAAAUAUCAGCCGCAGCGAUACCAAGGCACUGUUGGCCGCAGCUAUGGAGCACACUGGUGUACCGGGAUUCCGGUUUCCGAUUCGAUCUGAGGGCGAUAUCGAACGGCUAGAAGUUGCCGUCCGUAGUGACAUGUACAAAUGGGACAAUUAUAUUGCAUUCCUGCGAGAUUUGAGGGCCAAUGAUCUCCACACACCAAUACGAUGCAUUUUUCAGUCGGUGUUCUACGACGAAGCUCUAGCCAACUAUAAUUAUAAUGGAAUUAGCACUGCGCCGGGCGUUCAGAAGCGAGCAAUGAAAAGUUACGCCAUCUUUAGGGACUGCUUCGCUGUGGCUUGGCGAGAAUUUGGAAUCACCGACGAUAUGAUUCGUGCCAUGUUGACAGAAAUUAUUAAAAAUAUUAACAGACGAAAACGAAAUCGACAGUAUAAAAAUCGGAUACAGAAGAAAAAGAGGCUACAAAACUCGUUUGAAAUUGCAACGAUUCCCUGAAAUGUCUGGUACAUUAUUUGGAGUGGCUAUUGCAGUUGUAGAAUGCUACAAGUACAUUAGUAUUAUCAUGGCUAAUCAACAUGUCGAAUUAAAAAAUCAUCGUUAAUGCUAUGCAAUCUAGUACUGCACUGUUCAAUUGUCGCUUUUGUGUAAUACUUCAUAACUGUCUGCAUGGAAUUUCAUUGAACAGUAAUAGCACACUAAUGACAACAGAAGGAAGACUGUAAUGCAUUUUUUUUUUCAACAAUAAAUCUUUUAAUUUAUCACAACUAUGUUUUAAUCUCUGAAAAUUCACUGCAGUUUAUGAA